rnacentral:rRNA from 1 species
GACGAACGCUGGCGGCGUGCUUAACACAUGCAAGUCGAACGGAAAGGCCCUGCUUUUGUGGGGUGCUCGAGUGGCGAACGGGUGAGUAACACGUGAGUAACCUGCCCUUGACUUUGGGAUAACUUCAGGAAACUGGGGCUAAUACCGGAUAGGAGCUCCUGCUGCAUGGUGGGGGUUGGAAAGUUUCGGCGGUUGGGGAUGGACUCGCGGCUUAUCAGCUUGUUGGUGGGGUAGUGGCUUACCAAGGCUUUGACGGGUAGCCGGCCUGAGAGGGUGACCGGCCACAUUGGGACUGAGAUACGGACCAGACUCCUACGGGAGGCAGCAGUGGGGAAUGUUGCACAAGGGGCGGAAGCCUGAUGCAGCAACGCCGCGUGCGGGAUGACGGCCUUCGGGUUGUAAACCGCUUUCGCCUGUGACGAAGCGUGAGUGACGGUAAUGGGUAAAGAAGCACCGGCUAACUACGUG